GAAAAAAGAGAAUAAAAUAAAGUUCCCUUAUUUUAAUGACCUAAACGGUGAGGUGUUUGAUAAUAAGUGAAGUACAAGUCCUUCACUCGUAUCCUGACCCCAGCCUGCUUAUUCUCUUGGAAUGUGGUUAUCUCCUAGUACACUUGAUGCAUUAAUUAUGCACUACAACAUAUAGCAGAGGCACAUUUGACAGGAAUUUGUCAAAACCAAUCAUCCCACAAACUGUGAAUGGAGUGGCUUACUUUUCCUAAACACCUAAUUGUUUAAUUUGAUUAGUUAUGUAUGGGCAUUUCCUAUGAUAUACUUAGGCCAUAACUACUGACCAUAGGAAAUGCUUGUUGGGAUAAUGCUCAAAUGAGUGAGUCAAAUCCUAGACCAAGUUGAGGAUGUUAUACUACAAUAGUAAAGGCUGUUCUCCAAGUCUUCAAGCAUCCUUAAGUUACAGCUACUAUAUGACAAGAGGGACUUGGGCUUUCUUUUAAAUCCUGAUUUAAUUAAUUUUUAAUUUCUUUUUAAAGUCAGGUCAGUGCCACUCGGCUCUGAGUUUGACUUAAACUGCAUCGGUUCUUUGGCAGGAUUUGGAAUCCCAUUAAAGUGAACUGCAGACAGAUUGUUAUAUAAUUUAAUGUGUUAUUUAUUGUAAUAUAGCGGGUUGUGAGAGACGGCAGGGAGGGGGUUAACCUCCCUGCAAGGAAAAAAAAACAUGUGGGAAUGCACCGUUUUGUGUUGCUUUAUUGUUUUGUUUAUUGUUUAAUUGUUUUAUUAUUAAUUGUCUUCCGCACCUGGGCGUUAUUAGAAAUUAAGCCCAGGUGCGGGAGUUUAAAAGGAGAACAAGCAGUCUGCUCGGGGCUGCUGAGUGGAAGGAGGCAGUAGGUGCGCUGUCUCCGAGUAGCCAAGAGAAGAGAAAGUAAGUGCUGUUUAAACCAGUGUGUUUGUGAAGACGGGUAAACAGCUUAGCUGUCCCGCGUUAGUCAGGGUGUUUCCUAUAAGUCGAGUUAGUGCUCAAGAAGAGCUAGGUGUUAUUUUGAUUUGGUGUAUUUUGUUUGUUCCUGUUUAUUAAAAAAAUUGCGCAAACGCGCUUUAAAAAAUCCAUUUCUGUGUGCCGGGUCCAUUCUUAAAGGGGCAACGAACUCAAGUGGGUACGAACCUUUUACAUUUGGUGGCAGAAAGUGUGGGCGCCCCUAAGACCCAGAAAAAUGGAUUUUCAAGAACUGAUCGAGAAGAUCAAAAGAAAUACAGCUGCUCAGGAAGAGCAAAACAAGAAGUGGAGAGUGGAGCUAGGGCUACCGGAGCCAGAGCCUACAGAGCUGGACCGGCUGCUCCAGAAAUGGGAGGUAGAGCAGCCGUCCCGAGUGCCAGAAGGGGAGGAGCUGCCGCUGCCAGAGCCCAUAGGGGAGGAGCUGCCGCUGCCGGAGCCCAGUGGGGAGGAGCUGCCGCUGCCAGAGCCCAGAGGGGAGGAGCUGCCGCUGCCAGAGCCCAGAGGGGAGGAGCUGCCGCUGCCAGAGCCCAGAGGGGAGGAGCUGCCGCUGCCAGAGCCCAGAGGGGAGGAGCUGCCGCUGCCAGAGCCCAGAGGGGAGGAGCUGCCGCUGCCAGAGCCCAGAGGGGAGGAGCUGCCGCUGCCGGAGUCCAGAGGGGAGGAGCUGCCGCUGCCGGAGCCCAGAGGGGAGGAGCUGCCGCUGCCGGAGCCCAGAGGGGAGGAGCUGCCGCUGCCAGAGCCCAGAGGGGAGGAGCUGCCGCUGCCAGAGCCCAGAGGGGAGGAGCUGCCGCUGCCAGAGCCCAGAGGGGAGGAGCUGCCGCUGCCAGAGCCCAGAGGGGAGGAGCUGCCGCUUCCGGAGCCUAGGGAGGAGGUGUCGAGCGUACCUACACCACAGCCCCGACCACCACCCCUACGGUCCAGUCCGGUGUCGCUGCGUCCAGUCCCUCACCCCUUGCUCCUGGACACCCUGUCGGUUAGCCUGGACCUCCCUUCACUUGACCUGGAGCCCAGGAGUCGGCAGGAUCGGGCACAGUUCUCCACCUGGUCCCCUGCUCCGCUCCUCCCGGACAUUAAGACGUCGCUGUGCUGCUCCCAGACGUCGCGUACGCUCCCCCUGGUCGCUGCGUCGCUCCCCCUUGCUGACCGGACGUCGCUGCACUGGGUCCCAGCUGCAGACCUCUGCCCGCUACUGCAGCCUCCAGUGCCCCGGUUGUCGUGCCGGUCGCCCCUGACAAACCGGUGGGGUCCCUUGUCGCCGGUGCGCGGUCCCUACCUGGCUGACCCAGGACGUGGACCGAUCCACCCUCGAGUUCGCCCGUGGAGGAGGGCGAAAAUGGACAUUUAUGGACUCGAGGGUGGGUGGUUAUGUUUUAGGGGAGGAGGUGGCCGUCUCAUGGCCGGUGUCUUGGAAAGACAAGGGGGGGGAAAUGUAAUAUAGCGGGUUGUGAGAGACGGCAGGGAGGGGGUUAACCUCCCUGCAAGGAAAAAAAAACAUGUGGGAAUGCACCGUUUUGUGUUGCUUUAUUGUUUUGUUUAUUGUUUAAUUGUUUUAUUAUUAAUUGUCUUCCGCACCUGGGCGUUAUUAGAAAUUAAGCCCAGGUGCGGGAGUUUAAAAGGAGAACAAGCAGUCUGCUCGGGGCUGCUGAGUGGAAGGAGGCAGUAGGUGCGCUGUCUCCGAGUAGCCAAGAGAAGAGAAAGUUGAAAAAUUGUUGGAGGCUGCUGACUUUGGGCCACAAGAGAGCACAGGGGAUUCUGUUUCAGUCGUGAAUGAUCGGAGAGAAACUUCAAC